UACACUCGGCCCACAGCCACCAGACCAUGGCUGGCACCGAGGCCGCGCGUCCCAGCUGAACCCCACGCGUCCCAGCUGAACCCCGCGCACCCUGCUGAAAGCCACACCGCCUGGCCAGCGCUGGGGCUGAAGGGAUUUCAGAUCUCACUCUCCUCGCUGCGGCAGGGACCUCGGACGUAACUAGGGAAGAGCUACUUCAAGGGCACGGUUUAGCUGUAAGACAGGCACUGCCCCGGGCAGCCUGGGGCUGGCUAAGGAAAGGCCUUGAGCCCCAGGGUCAGAGCGGGCUGACCUCCACCGGCAGGGCUGGCCCUCUGCCCCCUGCGUGGCGUCGUCUGAGAUCGCUGGACGGAGCCGCUGGCCUGAGCUGGGGGGCAGGUCCCCGGGGAGCGGUGCCCUCUGGCACUACUGGUGUCUGGCCUCCGGCUUCAUCCCCGCAGGCCGCUCUCUCCAGGAGGCUGAGCCUGGGCAGGGCCACCAGGCAGACCUCAGGGCAAAGGCGACAGUCACUGGCAUCUGCCACCACGCACUACGCAAACAGCCACCGAGAGAGAAGGAAUGCCCGCCCGGUCACACUGCGAACCCACCCCACGAUCGUCUCUGCAAGAGACGUCAACGGUGUUUACCUACGUUUAAAAAAAAACCACACAGGCACGGGAUGAACUGUCUGCCUCCUAAUAUUUCUUCCAGUUCAAGAAGAGUAAAUUCGAUUUUACAAAGAAAAAACCAGAAUCUCCCAGAGUGGGACGGCUGCUGGGCAGCCGGAGGCCAGAGCCAGGUAGCCUCCCCCAGGGCGCUGUGCGGCCUCCGCGGCACGUGAGUAAGGAUGACCGCAGCCAUCAGCACACUGGCUUUGCCCCGUGUUGCAACGCUUGGCACAGGCGCGCCGGGCAGCAUGUGUCACGGGUCACGCAGAGAGCAGCAUGAAGCAUCCUCACGGGCGUCAGCUGUCUCUGUCCACAGACACCUAACACCGAGGGCUGCUUGGCAACAUCCGGGAAAUGGACAAGCCUGAGUGUUACCAGCAAGCUGAAAACGACAGACUCUCGAAAUGGAAGACACUGAGGACCGCGGGCCUGGGGAGAACGGAAGCCCCCGACCCAUGCGUCCAGGGCUGGGCUCUGCGCUACCGCACAGAAAGGGACAGAGGGGCGCCCGACGGAGAGGACAGCCCAGGCCCUCAAGGUCACACGUGAGACUCAGCUUUCACAGAACUUCAUGCUUUUGUUUUAAACGAACACUAAAAAGCGUAUUUUAAACUGCAUUUUCAUGCAGAAGUCCCCCGCUGAGACUGUAACACAGCACAGAUGACGAAGCAGCAGCUGCCCCCGGGGGUGAUGUGCUGGGGGAGCUCCGGGCCAGGGCCAGCCGGGUCCCACAGGUGCUCUGGGCCUCCCUGCAGGACCCAGAGCUCAGAGAGGAGCAGAGAUGCUGUGGCUCCCGCAAGCGCUAAACUAACGUGGCGGGGAGACAGACAGAGAAGACUGACUCUCGAGAAAAGUCUCAGUGAAAAAUCCAAAGUCACGAAAAUCAAAACCAGAUAUUCUCCGCCGACAUUGGAGGGAGCUCGGCAAUAAGGUAAAACCAUCACCAUCAAAGGCACCACGAUGCCAGUGCCCACUGCUGGCCUGACGCUCGGCUACUGCAAAGGAGGCCACGCGGGGCGCCAGGCGGACAAGGGCUGGACACCGGACCUGGCAGGCGAGCCCGCGAUGCAGAGGGGCCCGGGGCUGGGGGCCGCUCCGCAGGGCCUCAGCCGUCGCCCCCUCCUAAGCGACCUCAGGGCCAGGGUCGUGACCCCUUGUCCUGGUCUCCAGUCCACGAGGGGCCAACAAGGAGGACGCUGUCACCACAGCUAAGAGACGCCACCGUCCCUCCCGCAAAGAGCCCUGAGGGACCUGCGGGCCCACCUCCUCAGACUGUGCACGCCCCGUGUGGAACGCAGCCACUGAGGGGUCAAGCCCACACUUCACAUUUUGCCCUUUCUUCCUCAAUUAUCUGAAGGAAGGCCAAAGCCAGUUGCUAACAUCCUGGAGUAAAAAUGUCCCCUACUGUCCUCACUCUACAGCAAACACUGGACUGUUACUUAGUUUUGUUAAGAAAAAUGAACCGCUCUACUGCCAAGCGGGGAAGCCAAAUCCAUUCUUCUCUUUGUGUGUCCAACUAAAUUAAAGACUUCAUGUUCGCCCUCCAUAAAAAAGGAAAACAGCCCCUAAACAAGGACCAUGGCGCUUUACCAACACGGCCCAGGGACGUGCAGCCGAUUUCCUGUGAGCGCGCCGGGCACCCCCACCGCGGCAGCGCACAACAGGGAUCGGUGCCGGUCCACCACUCCGUCCCCCAGAACGUGGCCCGGCCACGCGGAAAGAGGGCUUCAGUGGGGGGCACGCCCUUGGCGCCGGGCCCAGGCUGACACGAGCAGUGGCCUUGGGCAAACCGGUUCCUUCUGGGCUUCAGCUGUAGAAUGAAGCUUUACGGUCCCUCCUGGUUCUGAACUUUGAGGAGGGAUGCUCUGAUGGCCCCCGUGCUCCUCUCUCUGGCCCGCACGUUCUCCCCUCCAAUGGGGGUGGGUGGCCCAGCGCAGGGGGUGCCCGAGGGCCGGGACUAAAAAAGAAGCUGAUGGUAAGAAGUUCCCUUGCUCAGGCUUGACCUCUGUACGUGGGAAGGUGGAGAGGCCGCAGGUCAGAAGCUCUGCCCCAUCCUCCAGGCCCAACCUCUCCCUCUGACCAGCAGACAGAUGUGCUGAGCACCGGAGUCUGGCUUCUGCUUGAAUUCAUUUCGUACUUUUAACUAUACUCUGAACGGAAAGCAAUAAAAGUACUUGACAAAACCAGCCGAUGUCAAUGUCCCUGCAGCAGUCAGUGACUAAUUUUUAGCAGCGGAAAAGCGAGGGGCUUAGAACCCAAGAGAUGAUCACCCCCUGGGAACGUCCUCUUCUCUGAGAAUGUAAAUAAAGAUCAGGGCUAAACCAACACAGCUCACCCCGGGCCCAUUCUCCACGUCAGAGUGUGACAUUAAACAGAACUUUGCCAGAGCAGCUUGGACUCUUCCUAAACUCUCAGGAGGCCGACGACGGCAGUUACCGGCAGUUCUCCAUGUCACGUAACAGCAUCCCGCGCCCCAGAUCUUCCAGGCUCUCCGCCUGAAAUCACGUACAAGGAAAAAAGCCAACUACUGCAUUAACAAGAAUGACAGAACUAGAAAAUCACCAAGACUACCAUCAUCACAAUAACAGCUUCAGGCAAGAAUCCUCACCGGAUACUGAAACCAGGGGUCACUGAAUGCCAUGUAGGACCCUCUUGAGAUCUAGGACAUUGUUAGGACAACUGGCAACAUAUGAAUCAGGCCUCUGAUGAGACAACACUGUUGUAUGG